GAUGAACGCUGGCGGCGUGCCUAAUACAUGCAAGUCGAGCGAACGGACGAGAAGCUUGCUUCUCUGAUGUUGGCGGCGGACGGGUGAGUAACACGUGGAUAACCUACCUAUAAGACUGGGAUAACUUCGGGAAACCGGAGCUAAUACCGGAUAAUAUUUUGAACCGCAUGGUUCAAAAGUGAAAGACGGUCUUGCUGUCACUUAUAGAUGGAUCCGCGCUGCAUUAGCUAGUUGGUAAGGUAACGGCUUACCAAGGCAACGAUGCAUAGCCGACCUGAGAGGGUGAUCGGCCACACUGGAACUGAGACACGGCCCAGACUCCUACGGGAGGCAGCAGUAGGGAAUCUUCCGCAAAGGGCGAAAGCCUGACGGAGCAACGCCGCGUGAGUGAUGAAGGUCUUCGGAUCGUAAAACUCUGUUAUUAGGGAAGAACAUAUGUGUAAGUAACUGUGCACAUCUUGACGGUACCUAAUCAGAAAGCCACGGCUAACUACGUG
rnacentral:rRNA from 1 species